rnacentral:rRNA from 1 species
UACGGAGGAUCCAAGCGUUAUCCGGAUUUAUUGGGUUUAAAGGGUGCGUAGGCGGAAUUGUAAGUCAGUGGUGAAAGCCCUUCGCUUAACGAAGGAACUGCCAUUGAUACUGCAAAUCUUGAGUACAUUUGAUGUGGGCGGAAUGUGUCAUGUAGCGGUGAAAUGCUUAGAUAUGACACAGAACACCGAUUGCGAAGGCAGCUCACAAAACUGUAAACCUGACG